rnacentral:tRNA from 1 species
UCCCAUAUGGUCUAGAGGUUAGGAUUCCCAGUUUUCACCCAGGUGGGCAGGGUUCGACUCCCGGUAUGGGAA